rnacentral:rRNA from 1 species
UGGGGAAUAUUGCACAAUGGGCGCAAGCCUGAUGCAGCCAUGCCGCGUGUGUGAAGAAGGCCUUCGGGUUGUAAAGCACUUUCAGCGAGGAGGAAGGUGGUGAGCUUAAUACGCUCAUCAAUUGACGUUACUCGCAGAAGAAGCACCGGCUAACUCCGUGCCAGCAGCCGCGGUAAUACGGAGGGUGCAAGCGUUAAUCGGAAUUACUGGGCGUAAAGCGCACGCAGGCGGUUUGUUAAGUCAGAUGUGAAAUCCCCGGGCUCAACCUGGGAACUGCAUUUGAAACUGGCAAGCUAGAGUCUCGUAGAGGGGGGUAGAAUUCCAGGUGUAGCGGUGAAAUGCGUAGAGAUCUGGAGGAAUACCGGUGGCGAAGGCGGCCCCCUGGACGAAGACUGACGCUCAGGUGCGAAAAGCGUGGGGCAGCAAACAGGAUUAGAUACCCUGGUAGUCCAGCGCUGUAAACGAUGUCGAUUUGGAGGUUGUGCCCUUGAGGCGUGGCUUCCGGAGCUAACGCGUUAAAUCGACCGCCUGGGGAGUACGGCCGCAAGGUUAAAACUCAAAGG